rnacentral:tRNA from 1 species
UCCCUGGUGGUCCAGUGGUUAAGACUCUGCGCUUCCAAUGCAGGGCAUGUAGGUUUAAUCCCUGGUCGGGGAA